GACGAGGCACUACGGUGCUGAAGUAACAAAUGCCCUGCUUCCAGGAAAAGCCUCUAAGCAUCAGGUAACAUCAAAUCGUACCCCAAACCGACACAGGUGGUCAGGUAGAGAAUACCAAGGCGCUUGAGAGAACUCGGGUGAAGGAACUAGGCAAAAUGGUGCCGUAACUUCGGGAGAAGGCACGCUGACACGUAGGUGAAGUGAUUUACUCACGGAGCUGAAGUCAGUCGAAGAUACCAGCUGGCUGCAACUGUUUAUUAAAAACACAGCACUGUGCAAACACGAAAGUGGACGUAUACGGUGUGACGCCUGCCCGGUGCCGGAAGGUUAAUUGAUGGGGUCAGCGCAAGCGAAGCUCCUGAUCGAAGCCCCGGUAAACGGCGGCCGUAACUAUAACGGUCCUAAGGUAGCGAAAUUCCUUGUCGGGUAAGUUCCGACCUGCACGAAUGGCGUAAUGAUGGCCAGGCUGUCUCCACCCGAGACUCAGUGAAAUUGAACUCGCUGUGAAGAUGCAGUGUACCCGCGGCAAGACGGAAAGACCCCGUGAACCUUUACUAUAGCUUGACACUGAACAUUGAGCCUUGAUGUGUAGGAUAGGUGGGAGGCUUUGAAGUGUGGACGCCAGUCUGCAUGGAGCCGACCUUGAAAUACCACCCUUUAAUGUUUGAUGUUCUAACGUGGACCCGUUACCCGGGUUGCGGACAGUGUCUGGUGGGUAGUUUGACUGGGGCGGUCUCCUCCUAAAGAGUAACGGAGGAGCACGAAGGUUGGCUAAUCCUGGUCGGACAUCAGGAGGUUAGUGCAAUGGCAUAAGCCAGCUUGACUGCGAGCGUGACGGCGCGAGCAGGUGCGAAAGCAGGUCAUAGUGAUCCGGUGGUUCUGAAUGGAAGGGCCAUCGCUCAACGGAUAAAAGGUACUCCGGGGAUAACAGGCUGAUACCGCCCAAGAGUUCAUAUCGACGGCGGUGUUUGGCACCUCGAUGUCGGCUCAUCACAUCCUGGGGCUGAAGUAGGUCCCAAGGGUAUGGCUGUUCGCCAUUUAAAGUGGUACGCGAGCUGGGUUUAGAACGUCGUGAGACAGUUCGGUCCCUAUCUGCCGUGGGCGCUGGAGAACUGAGGGGGGCUGCUCCUAGUACGAGAGGACCGGAGUGGACGCAUCACUGGUGUUCGGGUUGUCAUGCCAAUGGCACUGCCCGGUAGCUAAAUGCGGAAGAGAUAAGUGCUGAAAGCAUCUAAGCACGAAACUUGCCCCGAGAUGAGUUCUCCCUGAGACUUUAGGUCUCCUGAAGGAACGUUGAAGACGACGACGUUGAUAGGCCGGGUGUGUAAGCGCAGCGAUGCGUUGAGCUAACCGGUACUAAUGAACCGUGAGGCUUAACCUUACAACGCCG
rnacentral:rRNA from 1 species